UACGUAGGGUGCGGGCGUUGUCCGGAUUUAUUGGGCGUAAAGAGCUCGUAGGCGGUGUGUCGCGUCGGUCGUGAAAACUUGGGGCUUAACCCUGAGCUUGCGGUCGAUACGGGCAUCACUGGAGUUCGGCAGGGGAGACUGGAAUUCCUGGUGUAGCGGUGAAAUGCGCAGAUAUCAGGAGGAACACCGGUGGCGAAGGCGGGUCUCUGGGCCGAUACUGACGCUGAGGAGCGAAAGCGUGGGGAGCGAACAGG
rnacentral:rRNA from 1 species